UGAACACAGAUGGCACAUAAGCACAGAGACGGAGCCUUUGCAAAAUACAGAGCAGAAACGAGUGCAGCAGCUUUUGCGACUCCAAAGACCUUGACAUUCCUCCCUUCUGCCUUGUUACAAAAGUGCAAACCAGAGGAAGCCUAUGGGAUGGGAGCUGGGGUUGGUGGAGGAAACCUCAACACAUUCCUAUUUUAUUUGCCGAUACCAGUCAGAAAAUACCCAGUGCUCAUGACAGUUUUAGAAAACACUUAAAUGAUUUCUGUUGUUUUCCUGAACCAACAACUAGAUGUAUUAUUUUUGGAACUAAAACAAUAAUCAGGUGCUUUUAUUGAUUUCAAAAGACUUGACCAUUAUUAUUGAACUGGAUUUAAAAUAUCUUUGGGGGAAAGCAUGCAUUUAAAAGGGCUUCCCUGGUGGCUCAGUGGUAAAGAAUCUGCCUGCAUUUCAGGAGACAUGGAUUCAAUCCCUGGGUAGGGAAGGAAAAGGCAACCCCCUCCAGUCUGGGAAAUCCCAUGGACAGAGGAGCCUGGAAGGCUGCAGUCCACAGGGUCACAAGACUUAGCGACUACACUAUCACCUCCAUACUUUUAAAACAUUGACCAUAUCUUUCUUGAGUAAGUAAAACAAAUAAAAGCACAUUUGAGGUUUUUCCGACA
rnacentral:lncRNA from 1 species